GGGAGGCGAUCCCAGCUGGCCGACCGACCCUCCCUCCCCUCUGCGGCCCUACAAGAUGCGGCGAAGGAGGGGCUUGGCAGGCAGCACGAGGUGGCUCCCGGCCGCAGGCUGAGCGCAGAGCCGGGCAGACCUCCCUGAACGCGGGCGGGGAUCAAUCUGGGAAAGUUCUCUAGGUGAAUUGCGUCCUGGCAAGGAUGAGAAACCGGAACCAGAAUGACUCUGAAAGAGUGACUCUCCACUUAAAUGAACCUGUGCGUUUCUGUUGCCUUGGGGCACAAGUGUCCAUAUGUGUGUGUGCCCCCCAACCCCCAUCCCCGGCCCCGGCUGAUCUUACCAAUUAGGUUGCAGGAAGGGUUGCUUCUGUCUAAAAAUGGCCAAGGAUCAGCAUUUCUUUGGAGUCGUUUCCACACCUUGUAGCAGUUUUCAGUCAACCACGGUCGUUUUGGAGGGUGUCACUAGGCAUCCAGGCAGCUGGCUAAACCUCCAAUGAGUUUAAUUGAUAGAAAUGCUUUUUAUUGCAUUGCCUACUUCCCUUCUGGUUUUAAGUUUGAACGUGUAGGAUUGUACAGACUGUCCUAUGGGAGUUAACAUAAUCCACAAAAACAACAAUAAGCAUUUCUGGUGUUUUGUGUGGGUAUCAUUUGUGUCAAUAAUCAUUAAACCCAAUGGCAGCAAAAUAGAACUUUGGAGGGGAGGUGCCAAGGUGGCAGGUCACAGAUGAUGUCACAAUCCAGAAGUUUAAGUUAACCUCUCCUGCAAUUAACCACAGGUUAGACUUCAUUGUGGGGAGCGCACUUGUUUUCAAGUUACAGAAAGGGACCUCAGGUCAAUCUGAGCUACAUAAGACCCUGCCUGACUCCAAAACUCUCAAACAAAC
rnacentral:lncRNA from 1 species